rnacentral:rRNA from 1 species
GUCUUAUUGAAAAUAAUUUUAAGUCUAAUCUGCCCAAUGAUAAUUUAAUGGCUGCAGUAUCAAUAACUGUACAAAGGUAGCAUAAUAAUUAGUUUUUUAAUUGAAAACUAGAAUGAAAGAUUAAAUGAAAUAUAAACUUUAUAAAUAAAAUAAAAAUUUAAAUUAAAUUUUAAGUUAAAAUUCUUAAAUAAUAUUAAAAGACGAGAAGACCCUUUAGAAUUUUAUAUUAAAUAUAAUUAAAUUUAUAAUAAUUUAAAUAUAAAUUACUUUUAAUAUUUAAUUGGGGUAAUUUUAUAAUUUAAUAAACUUUUAAAUAAAUAAUACAUAAAUUAAUGAAUUUAUAAACCUAAUUUUUAGAAUAUUAAAACAAAUUACCUUAGGGAUAACAGCGUAAUUUUUUUUGAAAGUUCACAUUUAUAAAAAAGAUUGCGACCUCGAUGUUGAAUUAAGAUUAAAUUAAAAGCAAAAAUUUAAUAAUUUAAGUCU